AGUUGCAGUGUGUCUGCCUAUCUACACUUGCUGUGCAGAAUAUCCUCCAACCUGUACAGCAGGCACAGACAGGCAGAUA
rnacentral:miRNA from 2 species